GUUGGGUGUGGUGGCUCACACCUGUAAUCCUAGCAUUUUGGGAGGCUGAGGCAGGUGGAUGGCUUGAGCUCAGGAGUUUGAGACUAGUGUGGGCAACAUGAUGAAACCCUGUCUCUACAAAAAACACAAAAAUUAGCUGGGCAUGGUGGCGUGUGCCUGUAGUCCCAUCUACUUGGGAGGCUGAGGUGGGAGGAUGGCUUGAGCCAAGGAAGUAGAGGUUGCAGUGAGCCAUGAUCGUGCUGCCACUGCACUCUAGCCUGGGCAACAGAGCCAGACCCUAUCUCA
rnacentral:sRNA from 1 species